CCUCCCCUCCGCUGGUUUUUCCGUUGCGAUAGAACCAAUCCCUCGCUAGCCCUACCUCGUCUCCCGUCUCCAGUCGCAGCCGCCGCCGCACCCCAAUCCAACCCCGCCGCCGGCGAUCUCCUCGCCCCCCUGCGCCGCCGCCCCCAACCUUCUAUUCCUCUCCCAAGGGAAGGGAAGGGAAGGGAAGGGAGAGGGAGCGCCCAGAUCCACGGCGGCAUCAGCGCGCUGUCGUCGACCUGAUCCGCGUCCGUCCUCGAGGGAGGUCGGCCAUGGAGGUCCGACGCGGCCCAGCAGCAGCCAUGGACGGACGGAGACACCCCAAACCCUACCUGGGACGACGCCUCAACCUUCAAGGACGCGCGCCGGCGACCGCAGAUCUCCGGUGACGGCUAUGUUGAGAUGACUGCCCCGGAUCUGGACGCACAACCUGCAGCUGCAGCAACAGUUGGACGACCGAACGCACGAGCCCUCCUUCCCUCCCUCAUGGCUCUGCUUCCUCCUACCCUGCCCCCUCACGUGGGCAUGGUGAGCUUCCUACCCCCCGUGCACAUCUCAUCUAAUCUCAUCAAAUCUAGAUUUCUCUGGACGUAUUUAUUGUUCUAGACACAACUUGAUUCUCUUCAGUUUGAUGUCACCCCUUUCCUGCCGGAGUGAGUCAGUCAAAUACUCCUACUAGCAGUAUAAGAUGUUUGCUGACUUUGAAAAAUGAUAGAUAGUAAAAAAUACGCUAAUGAGGUUGUGCAGCGGCGGACGUAUGACUGCUACCUGCACAAGCGGAUGGCCCUGCGAGCCGGACCAACCUCCAGCUGCUGUGGCGUACCACGGGCAGAUUUAUCCCAACGAGGAAACAAGGAGCCCAAAAAUUAAAUUAAAACAAAUCGACGCCAACAGCGAUGGGGGUGAGUAAGCUAUUCAUAUUUCUUUUCGUCUGUGGAUGCAUUGAUGGUUUGUAUUUCACAUUUUGUUUUAUUAUUAUUGUUAUAUACAUUACAGUCUUGUUUCUUGCGGUCAUACACAUUAACUUUGCAGUCACGUCUUCACAUCACAUUUGACCUGCAGCAAUUGGUUGUGUGUCCAAUGUACAUGUCUAAAUUUUGUUUAGGUGGAUGUCGCGCAUGCUUUGGUUGUGUGUGCAAUGACUUUUCUGUGGUAUAACCCUUCAUAUUAUUACCCGCAAAAAAAACCUGAAUAUUGUUAGUUGACCGUUUACAUGUUUGAAUAACCUUUACCGUCACGCUAAAGCCUAAAAGGUAGUUAGGUAGAGAGUCUCAAGUCACCAUUCGAUCAAAAACUAUUUAGUAAGCUGUUCUCUAAUUUCUCAGCGAAUGAGCACAAAUUCAGAAGGGUACGUACACAAAAGAACCCAUGUACAAAGUCUCUACUCUUUUACCAGGCUAUCCACCAUCUACACAGCAGGAUUCACAAAGCCAUGUGGAUGCUACCAAAGUGAUAAAAUUUGGAUGUUUUUGGAAAUAUAGCAUCAUAGGCCCAGUAAGGGGAAAAAGCCAACAUCAUGAAGAAUGCAUUAGGAUAAUGAUUUUACCUUGGGGUUAUAAUCUGCAUUACGUGCCUAGAGAGCUAUUUGCUUUCAAGUCCAAUUUACAAUCCAGGCGCUGACCGUCGACACAAUAUUCUUGUCAUCAAAUCAGACACCAGAAAGCAGAGUACACCCAGGAGAAAUCAGACUAGGAAAUAGCUCUGGCUCAUACUGUCAAGUAACCAUAUAAAAUAUCAUUUCCAACACAAGGAAAGAGAUAAGUUCUGGGAAAGAAAGAAUAAAAAUAUCAUACAUGAUAAAAUAGUGCUGAGAGAACAGAUUUCAACUUAGUAACUUACACUUCAGAAAGCGUUGUGAAAAUAUGUGAGACCCUCAAGCCUGAUAGCUUCUUGAUGUAAUGGUUCUUUGUGUUUGUCCUUCCAUUCAAGACAAAUAUACCUGGUCAAAAACCUAAUGGUUGAAAAACAUAUGUACUGAUCAAUUAGUGAAACAAAGUUGUAUCACUGAUGCUGUGUUUUUCAUUGAAGCAAAAUAUGACAAUGUACUAAUCUAAUAGUGCAGAUGUAGAUUAUCUCGCCUAACCUGGUUGCAUGCUUCAAAGUUAGAUUUUGGCCCAGUAUAUAUUUAAUGUGUACAGUUCACAGAAAUAAUAAUGGUUUAUUUUAUUUCGUUACAAGCGCCGACAGACCAUGACGCUUGAAGAUAUGGAGGCGACAAAUCUGUGCCGAUCCCCUCUUGGUGAUAACUCUAGCCGAGCCCCUCUUGGUGACAUUCCUAAUCUUGAGCAUCCUUCAAAUCCUAUAUACCUAAGAGAUUCACCCCCACUAUCCUAUUUAUCUUAACAUGCAAACUAUCCACAUCAGCAGUCCACUCACAUCAGCGCUCCGUUACCGAAUUACAAGAGGGACCUACCACAGGUUGACAUGAAUUCUCUGCCUCCACGUCACCUCAACUUCUUCUACCAAGUUGUGUCACACACACGUCACCUCAACUUCUUUUAUCACAUUGUGUCACACACACAUGCUGUGCGUUAUCACGUUGUGCGGCACGCAGCAAAUGAUAAAGCCAGUUCGUCUCACACAAAUCAUGAACGAAUCAUUGCGCCUUCCAACUGGGUGCUACUGCGACGGGGCGGCGGCGGACAUGUAGCAGAGCACCGGUAUCCAUUAACUAGAGGAAUAGGUGUCAGGCAGGCAGCGGUGAGGACGUAGCAGCAGCCAGCAGGCGAGGCGCCACACACCGACGACAACGAUCGUAGACUGAACGCUCCAGCUAGGGCUGAGCCGCCACUGGGUACUACUGCAAGGGUCGAACAAGCAGAACGAGAGUGCCAGAUCGAUAGAGAAGAACACCGCUACAUGACCAGAAACUGGAGCCCUAUGUUGCCAUCAUGGACAUGGAUUGGAAGGCUCUGAAUUACGCCAGAUGCAUUCAUCCCCUACAAACUAUAAUAUUUCGGGGCAACCUUUUAAUCAUAAUUUAAUUUUAUUAAUAUCUGUGUAAAUGCAGAUAACUCAUCAUGCUUAUUUCUAGGAAUGGAACUAAGCUUCAUCAAAUUCAAAAGCAUGUAUAAUGCUGCGCACUACACAAAACAAACAAAAAGAAUGAGAACAACCUGAGUAUACUGUCAUGAAUGGUAGCAGUAUGUUGCACAAGGUUGAUCCGGUGAGAAGCAUGAUUUACUCAAUAGUGUACCUCGUGAUUUAUUAGUGAUAUCUUUUAACAGAAAAUUAGAUUAUUAGUGAACUCGCAUUUUUUCUUCUGAGCAAGCUAUGUUUUUAUGGAAUGGAUAGUUAAUAGUUGUCAUCGUUGUUUCAGGUUUUUUCCAAGGGCUGAGAUGUCUCUACUUAAAGGUGUUUUUUUUUUUUGCAUCAGCUUGGUCUUUUUUUGCGGGUGAUGUAUCACCUUGGUGAUAUACUUUUUUUGCGGGGAACCUUCGUGAUAUACUAUUAAGGUAAUAAAGGAGAAGAAGUUUAUCAAAGAAGGUAAUAAUUAGUAAAAAAAAUCACGUGCACACAAUUUAAGCUUUUCAACACUUUUAUCUUAUUCUAAACAAUAUUUUUUUCCAAGAAUGUUAUUUAAAAAAACACAUUUAUCAUAUUCUAAACAAUAUUUUUUCCAAAGAAUAUUCUUUAUCAUCGCACAUACUAAAAUUCAUGUGCACACAAUUUUAGCUUUUCAACACUAUUCUCUCUUAUUCUAAACAAUAUUUUUUCCCAAGAAUAUUAUUUAUCAUCGGCACAUACUAUCUCAUGUUUCUAAACAUCAAAUUAUUUGUUAGAAAUUCCCGCAACAACGUGCGGGGUAUCAUCUAGUGACUCCAGUGCCCGUGCCAGGUAAUUGCGAGCAUAAUUUUUUGUUGUUGAUCGCAUUGGGGCAUACAUAUAGUUGAUACGGCUUUUCUACUGUUAAAUUCUUGCUGCAGAAAUACAAAAAUUAUAUAUAAAUCAGAACGAACAUCACAACAUGUUCUUAAACACAAUGGUGUUAGCACACAAAAAUCUAGCUAACAACAGGAACUACGGUUUUAACCCAGGCUAUUAACUAAGGUAAGGGAGAGAAUUUAACUGGAAAUUACCUCUUGGUGCAAGUAGUACAUGUGCUUUCAAGAGGAGCCAACGAUGCGGCCAACCAUGCUUAAAAUGAUACACAGUGCAAAUCCCACGCCUCUGGAUUCCUCUUACUUCAUCAGCUCACUUGAGUAAUGCCCUGCUUGUUUAGCAAAUAAAUUUUAGUUGUGUCUGGAAGAUGAUACAUAGCUGUCUAUUAUAUCAUGAAGAGCAUGGCUCCAAUGUAUUUCAGGUACUUAUGUCUAGCUUCAACAGAUGGCAUCUCUAAUAUUCUGAAUCUUUCUUUUUCCGGAUAAUGCAUCUGUAUGUCUGCAUUCAUAUGCUUAUGUAUAUCCUUGAAUCCAUUUUAGUCAAACAUUGCGAUCAAUAGCUCACAAGAAAAAAGAACAUUGUACAGUAGAAGAGGCAUAUGUGAAUACAUUGCGCAAAUAACUGAUACCAGUUUUCUGAACUAGCCUGGUGGUACUUCAGAACAACAUUGUAUUCUCCAAAAAUAUGAAGGUAUGAAAAGAAGUAUUCUACACUUUGGAAAUUCAGAGAUUAAUUGGCUACAUUGGUGCAUUACCUAUCGGCCUGGGGUGGCCUGCCAUGGAGAUCGACGAGGCAGCAGCGCGACUGUGCUCAGCGCAGUUUGAGUGGGGUAGAAGACAGAGAAGUCCAUCGCUGCACGCAGCGGCAGCUGCACGCAGCGCAUCCACGGCUGGCGGAGCAUCGCGAUUAGGACUAGCUGGAAGUGCUACUUCGAGUAUAGAGCACCGCCAACUAGCGUAAUGUUUCGUAUUCGUUUUAUCCGUUGUACUAUGCACUGACAGCCGGACUGACUCAUCUGCUGCAAGCACUGCAUAUGUAUAGUACAGGCGAAAGGACACAAUAUUACCGUUGCACUGAACACUAUAUAAAGUAAACACUUCACCCAGCUGCAUGUAUUUAAGGCUCAUGCACCAGCCGCUGCGUGCAGGACCGAUCGUUUUGCUUCAAACACGCACACAAGCACCCGAGUUGCUGCGAUCCGUCGACGUCGCCGUGCCGCGAUGUCCCAGAGCUCAUCUUCCGCUCGUCGUCUCUGGACACCCCCGCCCCCGCUGCCAUUGAUCCUGUGCCCGAGGUGUGCCGGGAUGAGCACUAGAUGGUUUGUCUCCGGGAUAGACCGGAAUCCCGGCGUCCGUUUUUACAAGUGCCCGAACCAGGGGGACGGGAGGCCCGUGCGACUUUUGGUUGUGGGAGGACCAGUACGUGUUCUUCAUCACCAGCGUUGGCAUCAACCUUCUCAUCAAGGCGGCCGGAGGUGGGAGCAACGUGAUGUUUGGUAUCGGACGCGCCAUGGAAGAUGUACAUUUUUUUGGUCAAUGAAAAAUAACCAGUGUACAUAAUGCCGGGGCACGCGUACUACUGUAACCAAACACCGGGUCAUGAUUAAGAAAACGAAUCCAAGGCAUGGAGAACUCCAAGGUGUUUGCUGACAAGCUGUUCGGGACAUGUCGAGGCAGAGGAACAUUGAGCCGGAUGAAGGCAUUAACAAGGAUCGGCUCAGAGAGGUGGAACAUGAACAUUGAUGGGAUGCUCAUAGAAGAUGAGGUCAAGAAGGUGGCUACGCAAAUGAUCACAGAGAAGACUACUGCUGGUUCAUCUUCCCCGCCCUUUAAAUAUGUUCAUGUCUGCACAUCAAUCUAUCGAUA